rnacentral:siRNA from 1 species
UUUGGGAUGCUGAAGCAACAUC